GACGAACGCUGGCGGCGUGCUUAACACAUGCAAGUCGAGCGGAGCGGUGAACGGGUGAGUAACGCGUGAGUAACUGCCCCCCUUACUGGGAUAAAAGUUGGAAACGGCUGCUAAUAACGGAUAGUGGGGGAUGACUCGCGUCCUAUCAGCUUGUGGGCGGGGUAGUGGCCUACCAAGGCGACGAUGGGUAGCCGGCCUGAGAGGGCGACCGGCCACAUGUGGCUGAGUUGCGGCCCAAACUCCUACGGGGGGCAGCAGUGGGGCAUAUUGCGCAAUGGGCGGAGCCCUGGUACAGCAACGCCGCGUGCGGGAUGUCGGCCUUCGGGUUGUAAACCGCUUUCAGCCAUGACGCGGUAGUGGCAGAAGAAGCACCGGCUAACUACGUGCCAGCAGCCGCGGUAAUUC
rnacentral:rRNA from 1 species